AGACACAGGAGGUUCUGUGGACAGGGCUGGUGGAGCUCUGGCCACUUCCUCCGUAAACUAGAGACGUGAUCCCCAGGGCCAGGUCUGUCUCUGAGGUCCUACCAGCUGGGACAGGAGGAUGCAAUUCUCUCUCUAAAGUCGAGAGCUCACCACCCCGGGCGUUCGUCACUGCAGACAUCACUGCAGACACAGAGACGGCCAUUAGAGCUCACCACCCCGGGCGUUCGUCACUGCAGACAUCACUGCAGACACAGAGAAGGCCAUUAGAGCUCACCACCCCGGGCGUUCGUCACUGCAGACAUCACUGCAGACACAGAGACGGCCAUUAUGCAGCCUCACGUGGUCACUCCUGGGGGCGGUAGGAUAUUUUAUCCUAAAGAGAAAACACCUUAAAUUCUCACAUCAGCCACCCCCAUGGCGACUCUUAACACCUUAAUGUAGCACCUUCCAACUUUUCCUGGGCAUUUAUGUACAAAUUGUAAUAAAAUUGGGUUCUUACUGCA
ensembl:lncRNA RPH3AL-AS1 RPH3AL antisense RNA 1